GACGAACGUUGGCGGCGUGCUUAAUACAUGCAAGUCAACUGAAGCAGUGGUAGCAAUAUCGCUGUGGAGGUGGCGCACGGGUGAGUAACACGUAGGUAAUCUGCCUUCAGGUCUGGCAUAACUCCGGGAAACCGGGGCUAAUAGCAGAUGAUGCAGCGGCUCGACAUCGAGACAGUUGUUAAAGCUAUGGCGCCUGAAGACGAGCCUGCGUCUGAUUAGCUAGUUGGCGGGGUAACGGCCCACCAAGGCAACGAUCAGUAGCUGGUCUGAGAGGAUGAUCAGCCACACUGGAACUGAGACACGGUCCAGACUCCUACGGGAGGCAGCAGUAAGGAAUAUUGCUCAAUGGGAGAAAUCCUGAAGCAGCAACGCCGCGUGAGGGACGAAGGGCUUUUGCUUGUAAACCUCUGUAGUGAGAGAAAAAAAUCCCAAUCUUUGGGACAUGAUGGUAUCUCAAAAGUAAGCCCCGGCUAACUACGUG
rnacentral:rRNA from 1 species